AUGGGGAUGGAACUCAUGAUGGAAUUGGAGUCUUUACAAGGGAAUGAAGAGACAAGAGCUCUCUUUAGGCCAUGUGAGGACACAGCAAGGCCCCAAUCUGCAAGCCAGGAAGAGUCCUCACAAGAACCAGACCAUGCUGGCACUCUAUUCAUGGACAUUUCAAACUCCAGAACUGUGAGCUAAAAUGCGUAUUUAUCUUUGGAAGAAACUCUGAAGUAAAGGUGACAAGAUUCUUUAUUUAAAACAUUAAAAACAAAACGAAACAAAAUAUCAAGCAAGAAGUUUUCUGGCAACAAACUAAGCGCGGCAUUAUUUUUUAAGGAACACAAAUUAAAUGUUCAACGUGUGACAAAUUUGCACUUUCUCCCUGAAUUAUGUCAUUAUCAAAGAAAAAGAUUGGAAGGGGCUGAUAAAAUAUCAUCAAAACUGAAACUAGAAUUAAACAAAACUAAAAUAAAAUGAAAUAAAAUAGUAUCCAUUCUUAA